AAUCUUUGAACAAUUAGUGGAUGGAACUUUAAGGCAGACACGGUGAAACAUUUUCUCCUCUGGGCCUAAUCACUGUGGGGUGACCCCCAAGUUGACCCUUAAUAGACAGAAGCAGGCAUCUGCUGUUUGAAGACUGGAGAAGGAUGACCAAUUCUCCAUGGGGAGAAUAUCUAAAAUGACCCAAACUGCCCACAUCUUCUGGUGGUCCGGAGCAUGGGUAACCUUCUUGCCUGUGUUACGACUCAGCCCAGUGAGUCUUGGCUGGGAUUGAGCGAAGUCACCGGAUCCUGGGUGCAUGAUACUCAUCAGUGAAUGAGUCUGCUGAAGAGUUUACAGCUACAAGUGGUGUUGGGAGAUGAAGCCUGGCUGGAGGAGGCGGUCACUGGUCGUGUGACCUGGAAGGGUCUGUUUUUCUCCCUGUCCCUUGACCACUCUCUGCUUCCUGUUGUGGUACCUUGAGUGCUUUCCCUUCUGCUGUCCCCCUUUGUAUGCUGCCAAACCUUGGAGCCAGUUGAGUAUGGACUGAAACUGCUACCAACUAUAAGCCAAGUUAAACCUUUCCUCCUCAGAGCUGUGGGGGCCAGGUAAUGUGUCUCAGUGAUGAGAAAAGAGUAAAGAUCUAAUGAUACUG